rnacentral:rRNA from 1 species
AGGAUUCCCCUAGUAGCGGCGAGCGAACCGGGAGAAGCCCAGCUUGAAAAUCGCGUGCGUUUCGGCGGCGCGAGUGUGUAGUCUGGAGAAGCGUCCUCUGCAGCGGACCCGGCCUAAGUCCCCUGGAAAGGGGCGUCAGAGAGGGUGAGAACCCCGUCGGGCCGGGACCCUGCUGCUCCACGAGGCGCUGUCUACGAGUCGGGCUGUUUGGGAAUGCAGCCCUAAGCGGGAGGUAAAUUCCUUCCAAGGCUAAAUACAGGCGGGAGACCGAUAGCGAACAAGUACCGCGAGGGAAAGAUGAAAAGGACUUUGAAAAGAGAGUCAAAGAGUGCUUGAAAUUGCUGGGAGGGAAGCGAAUGGAGGCCUCACGUGCGCCCCGGUCGGAUGCGGAACGGCGCGAGCUGGUCCGCCGCUCGACGCGGGGCGCCUGUCGGCGUGGGCUCCCUGGGCGGGAUAAACGGUCCCGUCCGCCCUCCGGGGCGGAUGGGGCGUCGGUCGCCGUCGAGGGGGCCGAGGCAAGUCCGUAAGAAGCGCGCGCCCCUUCGGGGGCGGGCCUGCCCCCCUUCGCGGGGGGGCGGGCACCUGCGCGCUCGGGAUGCCGGCACGGCGGGCUUUUCAUCCGACCCGUCUUGAAACACGGACCAAGGAGUCUAACAUGCAUGCGAGCCGGUGGGCGGCAAACCCACGUUGAGGCGCAAAUAACUUGAUAAGGUGUGAUCCCUCCUCUUCGCGGAGGGGGGUGCAACAUCGACCGACCUUGAUCUUCUGUGAAAGGUUCGAGUAAGAGCAUGCCUGUUGGGACCCGAAAGAUGGUGAACUAUGCCUGAGCAGGGCGAAGCCAGAGGAAACUCUGGUGGAGGCUCGUAGCGAUACUGACGUGCAAAUCGUUCGUCAGACUCGGGUAUAGGGGCGAAAGACUAAUCGAACCAUCUAGUAGCUGGUUCCCUCCGAAGUUUCCCUCAGGAUAGCCGGAGCACGAAGGAGUUUCGUCAGGUAAAGCGAAUGAUUAGAGGCAUCGGGGGUGAAACACCCUCGACCUAUUCUCAAACUUUAAAUAGGCGAGAUCCGAGUCGGGGUUGCUUGAUUAACCCCCGGCGGAGACAGAAUCCGC